UACGUAGGGUGCAAGCGUUAAUCGGAAUUACUGGGCGUAAAGCGUGCGCAGGCGGCUUUGCAAGACAGAUGUGAAAUCCCCGGGCUUAACCUGGGAACUGCAUUUGUGACUGCAUGGCUGGAGUGCGGCAGAGGGGGAUGGAAUUCCGCGUGUAGCAGCGAAAUGCGUAGAUAUGCGGAGGAAUACCGAUGGCGAAGGCAGGUCUCUGGGCUGACACUGACGCUCAUGCACGAAAGCGUGGGGAGCAAACAGG
rnacentral:rRNA from 1 species